GGUCUGCAGCUCUCGACAGCGCGGUGGCAACAUGGUCUCCAAGGCACAGCUCCUCUGCCUCCUACUGCUCUGGGCCCAUGAAUCCACAGGGGCCGUGGUGGUGACUCAGUCUCCAGAAUUCGUGACGGAGUCUCCAGGAGGCAGCGUCACCAUCAAGUGCAAAUUCAGUUCUAGUACCUCCCAUACAGCCUGGUACCAACAGAAACCCAGACAAGCUCCGAAGCUCCUUAUCUAUGAGAUCUCUAAGCGUCCCUCUGGGGUCCCAGACUGGUUCAGUGGCAGUGGCUCUGGGACUGCCUUCACUUUCACCAUCAGCAGGUUGGAAGUCAAAGAUGCUGCAGACUAUUACUGUCAGCACUAUAGUAGUAACGUGUUCCACAGUGCUCCAGCCCCAUACAAAAACCUCACUGGGCACUUUGGCUUCUAG